CAGCAGCCGCGGUAAUACCGAGGGUGCGAGCGUUAAUCGGAUUUACUGGGCGUAAAGCGUGCGUAGGCGGCUUUUUAAGUCGGAUGUGAAAUCCCUGAGCUUAACUUAGGAAUUGCAUUCGAUACUGGGAAGCUAGAGUAUGGGAGAGGAUGGUAGAAUUCCAGGUGUAGCGGUGAAAUGCGUAGAGAUCUGGAGGAAUACCGAUGGCGAAGGCAGCCAUCUGGCCUAAUACUGACGCUGAGGUACGAAAGCAUGGGGAGCAAACAGGAUUAGAUACCCGGGUAGUCCCUGUCUCUUAUAC
rnacentral:rRNA from 1 species